rnacentral:rRNA from 1 species
CUCGUAGGCGGCCAACUAAGUCGGACGUGAAAUCCCUCGGCUUAACCGGGGAACUGCGUCCGAUACUGGAUGGCUUGAGAUUGGGAGAGGGAUGCGGAAUUCCAGGUGUAGCGGUGAAAUGCGUAGAUAUCUGGAGGAACACCGGUGGCGAAGGCGGCAUCCUGGACCAACACUGACGCUGAGUGAGCGAAAGCCAGGGGAGCAAACGGGAUUAGAUACCCCGGUAGUCCUGGCCCUAAACGAUGAAUGCUUGGUGUGACGGGUAUCGAUCCCUGUCGUGCCGAAGCUAACGCAUUAAGCAUUCCGCCUGGGGAGUACGGUCGCAAGGCUGAA